rnacentral:rRNA from 1 species
ACAAAGUUAACUUAACCUAUGGAUGGGAAUAACCUCGGGAAACUGAGAAUAAUACCCAAUAGACCACAGUGCCUGGAAUGGCCUGUGGUUGAAAUGAUUUAUCGCCGUAGGAUAGGACUGCGGCCUAUCAGCUUGUUGGUGAGGUAAUGGCCCACCAAGGCUAUAACAGGUACUGGCUCUGAGAGGAGGGGCCCGGAGAUGGGUACUGAGACACGGACCCAGGCCCUAUGGGGCGCAGCAGGCGAGAAACCUUUGCAAUGUGCGAAAGCACGACAAGGUUAAUCCGAGUGUCUCCUGCUAAAGGAGUCUUUUGUCAGUUGUAGAAUCACUGGUGAAUAAGGGGUGGGCAAGUUCUGGUGUCAGCCGCCGCGGUAAAACCAGCACCUCGAGUGGUCAGGAGGUUCAUUGGGCCUAAAGAAUCCGUAGCCGGUUGCAUAAGUUUUCGGUAAAAUCUAUGCGCUUACCG